rnacentral:rRNA from 1 species
CCUACGGGAGGCAGCAGUGGGGAAUAUUGGACAAUGGGCGAAAGCCUGAUCCAGCCAUGCCGCGUGUGUGAAGAAGGCCUUCGGGUUGUAAAGCACUUUCAGUGGGGAAGAAAGCCUUGGGGCUAAUACCCUCGAGGAAGGACAUCACCCACAGAAGAAGCACCGGCUAACUCCGUGCCAGCAGCCGCGGUAAUACGGAGGGUGCGAGCGUUAAUCGGAAUUACUGGGCGUAAAGCGCGCGUAGGCGGUCUGAUAAGCCGGUUGUGAAAGCCCCGGGCUCAACCUGGGAACGGCAUCCGGAACUGUCAGGCUAGAGUGCAGGAGAGGAAGGUAGAAUUCCCGGGGUAGCGGGGAAAUGCGUAGAGAUCGGGAGGAAUACCAGUGGCGAAGGCGGCCUUCUGGACUGACACUGACGCUGAGGUGCGAAAGCGUGGGUAGCAAACAGGAUUAGAUACCCCGGUAGGC